GACGAACGCUGGCGGCGUGCUUAACACAUGCAAGUCGAACGGAAAGGCCCUGCUUUUGUGGGGUGCUCGAGUGGCGAACGGGUGAGUAACACGUGAGUAACCUGCCCUUGACUUUGGGAUAACUUCAGGAAACUGGGGCUAAUACCGGAUAGGAGCUCCUGCUGCAUGGUGGGGGUUGGAAAGUUUCGGCGGUUGGGGAUGGACUCGCGGCUUAUCAGCUUGUUGGUGGGGUAGUGGCUUACCAAGGCUUUGACGGGUAGCCGGCCUGAGAGGGUGGCCGGCGACAUUGGGCCUGAGAUACGGCCCAGACUCCUAUGGGAGGCAGCAGUGGGGAAUAUGGCACAAUGGGCGGAAGCCUGAUGCGGCAACGCCGCGUGCGGGAUGACGGCUUUCGGGUUGUAAACCGCUUUCGCCUGUGACGAAGCGUGAGUGACGGUAAUGGGUAAAGAAGCACCGGCUAACUACGUG
rnacentral:rRNA from 1 species